AACGUUCAUCCCGAAAGGGACGCAAGUAAGCCGACACGGAACGGAUU
rnacentral:ncRNA from 10 species